CUUUGUGGGGUGCAGAAAGCACACUCAGACGCCACAACUUGUUACAGAAACAGAUCGCUGCUCGGGAAGGUUAAUCCGCUUUGAACAAGAUAAGGCACGAAGAGGCUGACAUCAGAGACUUCCCUCGGUUCCAGUCAAACACAGCACAGAGCAGCACAGCCAGCGAGCAUAUGCGCUGUUUGAACAAGACAUACUUCUGCCCGUGAUUGAUACUGGCUUUCGAGAUCUUGGGGAAAGGUGAGGAUGGCACAUGUCAGCAGCAGAGGCGUUGGGAUCAGGGGCCCAGGAUCAGAGCCACUGCGAGCGCAGCACUCAGGCUGAGGCCAGAGAGGGUGGAAGAAUGGCAGGCAGACAUACGACGCGCCUUCCCCCGUGCACUCCUGUAAAGCUGCCUCUCUCAACCAGGUCCUAUCCUGGGAGAAGGAAGGGCCAACUCUUGAGAGGCAAGCAGCUUUGUCUGGAAGGUCGGACUUCAGCUGACCAGGCGAAAUCCUGAAUUGACUGGACAAGUACCCAAAAGAGACUGUCGUGCACGAAGAGAAACUGAGUUACCCACAAGUGUGAGUAUUGCUUGUCAUUACAGAGCAGAAGUAAGGACUUGCGAGCGAGUCGGCUCUAUAUUGGCGGAAGUGAAAGAACAUUGCAUUUCUGGUCAUCUGAGUCAUAGCACGGCAACGAUGGUGAUGCAGGGCCUGGAGAAGUCGGCCUCCCCCGCCCGCCUGGUGGAGUCACACGUGGCUGAACUCUACAGAGGAUGAUGACCACACACGAGGCUGGAGUAGUGAAAGGAAAGAGAAUUGGCCUUCCACAUUACUAGGUGGUCAGUAAAUAUUUGUGGAAUGAAUGGAUGAGUGAAUGAACGAACGAAUGAACAUAAACAGAGAUUAAACUAUUUGUGGUGUAGCUGAAGGA
rnacentral:lncRNA from 1 species